UCUCACCUUUCACUGUGAAGAUCUGGAGGAUGGAGUUCAGAUUGUCAGGCUCAGCUGCAACCUUCUUUAUUAGCUGAGUCAUCUUGGCCCUGCACCCACUUCUUUUCAGUAUAUAUCCAGUAAUGGAACUUCUUGAUAUGGCCCUUAGCUUGUAUCAGGUGAACGUUAUACAUCAGGAGAUGUGUGAACACUUGCUGGGAAAGUUCUCCUACCUCCCUACCCUCUACUGCGGUGGCUCACAGAGUUUUGUCUUCAUAAAUGUCAUCUUGUCCAGAUGAACAGGUGCUGAGCCCAUCUUUUACAUUUGAUAUGCCAUUAGCAAUUUCCCCCAUUCUGUCUUUCCACCUCUAUAAUACAGUCACUUUUCUGUGACUACCCACAACGGUCCUGAUUUGAGCUCCUAACUCUCACCCACACUAUGACAGUUGCUUCUGUGUCUUGGACCCUCUGGUCCUUUUUAUAUCAUAGCAACAAGAUUGACUUUUUCAAAACAUUAGUCAAUUAGGCCAACUUAUUCUAAAUAUCUCAAAAAAAAUUAUGUCAUUUACCACUUAUACCUUUCUGUGACUCUCCAUCUCACUGUGAAACACAGCUCAAGGGCUAGCAAUGAUUUAAGACUUCUACUUCUACAGCAUCUGGCUCCUGCUCUCCAUUCCUGAUCCUUUGCUGUUCUUUGAUUUGACAAUCAAAUUCCUUGCUAUGAACUAUGCCUGGAAUGCCCUUCUGCUUGGGAAAUUCUUCUCUUGGUAAAUGUCACCUCACCAGAGAGACCUCUAACAUACCUUUGAUCCUUCUUUUCAAGCCCCCACCUUCUCUCCAUCCCUUUCCUUCCUUUCUCACUGUGACUCUCCAUAUGUAGUACAGGCUGACCUUGAACUCACUUCAGUUCUCCUGCCUCAGCCUCUGGAGUUCUGGGAAUUCAGGCAUGAGCCACCUCAAUGACUACCACCUCUGGCUUUUACUAAUUCCAUAUUCUCCAUCUAGUCAGUGUUAAUACCUACAUUUGUUAGCUUCUGUCCCCUUCACUAGAAUGUAACCUUUAUGAUGUUUUUACUUUUUAUAUUUCCUGUUGUAGCUUUCUUAAUCUAUAAACAACAAAAUGGAGACUCUUGAUAUUCUCUUCUAUGUGUUGUUCCAUUUGGUAAGCUAUAUUGGAUGCUGAAGCAGUAGUUCAUUGUGAGUUCAUUUGAGACCAGUGGAGGGUGAAUAAUGAAUUCCAGACCAGCCUAAACUACAAUGUGAGACACUGUCUAAAAAGUGGUGAAUGAGCUUGGCAGUGGUGGCAGAUGCCUUUAAUCUUAGCACUUGGGAGGCACAGGUAGUCAGAUUUCUGAGUUCAAGGCCAGCCCGGGCUACAGAGUGAGUUCCAGGACAGCAAGAGCUUCACAG
rnacentral:lncRNA from 1 species